GACGAACGCCGGCGGCGUGCUUAACACAUGCAAGUCGAACGAUGAACCCGGGGCUUGCUCCGGUGGAUUAGUGGCGAACGGGUGAGUAACACGUGAGUAACCUGCCCUUGACUCUGGGAUAACUGCGGGAAACUGUAGCUAAUACCGGAUACGACCCUCGGCGGCAUCGCCAGGGGGUGGAAAGAAUUUCGGUCAAGGAUGGACUCGCGGCCUAUCAGCUAGUUGGUGAGGUAACGGCUCACCAAGGCGACGACGGGUAGCCGGCCUGAGAGGGUGACCGGCCACACUGGGACUGAGACACGGCCCAGACUCCUACGGGAGGCAGCAGUGGGGAAUAUUGCACAAUGGGCGCAAGCCUGAUGCAGCAACGCCGCGUGAGGGAUGACGGCCUUCGGGUUGUAAACCUCUUUUAGUAGGGAAGAAGCGAAAGUGACGGUACCUGCAGAAAAAGCACCGGCUAACUACGUGCCAGCAGCCGCAGUAACAC
rnacentral:rRNA from 1 species